CUCUGCAGAGGCCUUCUAACGAGCAAAUCAUUUGAUCCAGGGGUGGUAGAGGAGGAACGUAUCUAAACAUUGCAGAUUCCAUUCAGCUAUCACAGCCUGGAGCCAGUGAAGCUGACAUUGUUUCCCGGAUGGCGGCCUAUUUGCGUUCAGCGCCAGACAGGAAAGGUGGUGGUGGUCGCAAGACUGCUGCAGCUCAAAAUGUUUAAUGACUGCAAAAUCUAUAAAGUAUUUCACUUUAGUUCAUUGCUGUUGUUUGUGUACAAUUUAUAGUUCACAUAUUUGUAGUCAGUUGCCUGUUAAACUACACAGCUGUUGAAAUCAAUGUUUUGGAAUGUUUUAGAAUAAAAAUGUUUUGUUAUA